AAAAAUUUUUUGACCCCUAAAAUGGUACACUGACCGAAAUUUUUUUGGCGACGGGGGGGGGUGGAGGUCGCCACAAUAAAUUCCGGAAAAAAAUGUUUCUCAUCACAAACCCUGUGUUACAUUUUUUCUGCAGUGCCCCCCCAGAAAUUGAGAGCCAGCUACGGGCUUGAUUUAAAACGAACUUAACGUUGGAAAUAAAACGAA